GUCCCGCCACAGCGCUGGGUCGUGAACUUUGACCAGGACCUCCAGGAUGGAUUGGUGAUGGCCACCAUGCUUGCAGCGUAUUGUCCAUUCUUGGUGGAUAGUCACCUGGCAGGGAUGUACUCGGACCCGCAGACUCCUGAGCAGUGUCUGCACAACUCCCUCCGCAUCGUCAGCAUCUUCCGAUUCCUCGGGCUUCAGUAUGAUAUUCAGGCGAUCGAUUUAACGGAUCAUAACCCGGUGGCGAUGCUGCUGCUGUGUACCUACCUCUAUCAGAUGCUGCGCAG